rnacentral:tRNA from 1 species
UUACUUGAGCAAGUUAGUGCAUUAGACUUAGGAUCUAAUUAAAUGGGAGGAUCCUAUAAGUAAAAG